UACAGAGGUCUCAAGCGUUGUUCGGAUUCAUUGGGCGUAAAGGGUGCGUAGGCGGCGCGGUAAGUCGGGUGUGAAAUCUCGGAGCUUAACUCCGAAACUGCAUUCGAUACUGCCGUGCUUGAGGACUGGAGAGGAGACUGGAAUUUACGGUGUAGCAGUGAAAUGCGUAGAGAUCGUAAGGAAGACCAGGUGGCGAAGGCGGGUCUCUGGAAAGUUCCUGACACUGAGGCACGAAGGCCAGGGGAGCAAACGGG
rnacentral:rRNA from 1 species